UACGUAGGGGCUAGCGUUAUCCGGAAUUACUAGGCGUAAAGGGCAGGCAGGCGGAUCCAUAAGUUUAUCGUUUAAGGCGUCGGCUUAACCGGCGUAGGGCGGUAGAUACUGUGGAUCUGGAAUGCGGUUGGGGAAGACAGAAUUCCUGGUGUAGCGGUGGAAUGCGCAGAGAUCAGGAGGAAUACCGAAGGCGAAGGCAGUCUUCCAAGCCGUUAUUGACGCUCAACUGCGAAGGUGUGGGUAUCAAACAGGAUUAGAUACCCGGGUAGUCCCUGAG
rnacentral:rRNA from 1 species